CCUAAUACAUGCAAGUCGAGGGGCAGCAGGGGUAGCAAUACUCGCUGGCGACCGGCGCACGGGUGCGUAACACGUAUGCAACUUUCCUUCAACUGGAAGAUAGCCCGAAGAAAUUCGGAUUAAUAUUCCAUAGUUAUAUGAAAUGGCAUCAUUUUAUAUUUAAAGCUCAGGCGGUUGAAGAUGGGCAUGCGUUCGAUUAGCUAGUUGGUGAGGUAAUGGCUCACCAAGGCUACGAUCGAUAGGGGAUCUGAGAGGAUUAACCCCCACACUGGUACUGAGACACGGACCAGACUCCUACGGGAGGCAGCAGUAAGGAAUAUUGGACAAUGGAGGCAACUCUGAUCCAGCCAUGCCGCGUGAAGGAUGAAGGUCCUAUGGAUUGUAAACUUCUUUUGAACGGGAGAAAACCUUCGGUCGUGUACCGAAGCUGAUAGUACCGUUAGAAUAAGGGUCGGCUAACUUCGUGCCAGCAGCCGCGGUAAUACGAAGGACCCGAGCGUUAUCCGGAUUUAUUGGGUUUAAAGGGUGCGUAGGCGGAAUGGUAAGUCAGUGGUGAAAUCUUGUGGCUUAACUGCAAAACUGCCAUUGAUACUGCCAAUCUUGAGUACAUUUGGUGUGGGCGGAAUGUGCCAUGUAGUGGUGAAAUACUUAGAUAUGGCACAGAACACCGAUCGCGAAGGCAGCUCACAAAACUGUUACUGACGCUGAGGCACGAAAGCGUGGGGAUCAAACAGGAUUAGAUACCCUGGUAGUCCACGCCUUAAACUAUGAUUACUCGAUGUGUGCGAUACACAGUACGCGUCUAAGCGAAAGCGUUAAGUAAUCCACCUGGGGAGUACGGUCGCAAGAUUGAAACUCAAAGAAAUUGACGGGGGCCCGCACAAGCGGAGGAGCAUGUGGUUUAAUUCGAUGAUACGCGAGGAACCUUACCUGGGCUUGAAAGUUAGUGAAUGCUGUGGAAACAUGGCAGGCCGCAAGGACACGAAACUAGGUGCUGCAUGGCUGUCGUCAGCUCGUGCCGUGAGGUGUUGGGUUAAGUCCCGCAACGAGCGCAACCCCUAUCUUAGUUGCCAGCGAGUAAUGUCGGGGACUCUAAAGAAACUGCCCGUGCAAACGGUGAGGAAGGUGGGGAUGACGUCAAGUCAGCACGGCCCUUACGUCCAGGGCUACACACGUGCUACAAUGGCGAGUACAAAGGGCAGCUACAUGGUGACAUGAUGCUAAUCUCUAAAACUCGUCUCAGUUCGGAUUGAAGUCUGCAAUUCGACUUCAUGAAGCUGGAUUCGCUAGUAAUCGAAUAUCAGCAAUGAUUCGGUGAAUACGUUCCCGGGCCUUGUACACACCGCCCGUCAAACAAUGGAAGCUGAGGGUACUUAAAGUCGAUAACCGCAAGGAGUCGCCUAGGGUAAAAUCGGUAACUGGUGUUAUGUCGAAACAAGGUA
rnacentral:rRNA from 1 species